AUCCAGUCCAUUUGAAACGUAAAGACGUAGACAACAGUCUACUGACUCUAAGCUUUCGGAUAGUAGUUUUUAUAGAGGAUCUGCAAUACCAGGCACAAACACAGGUGGAAUACCAAAUCUCACCAUCAAACGAGAACCAGAGUUCAGUCCUGUCUACAAUCCUGGUUAUCCCAACGUUCAAUCUCCAUCACUGUACGCUGCAAGCGCGUCCCGGUCUCCGUCCGUCUAUGCUCCCAGCACAUCCCGUACCCCAUCCCCAGGAAUGGAUUAUCAUCACUCUCCAGGAUCUCAAAACUUUGGGAUGGCCCCUGGCUCACAUAUGAUGGAUGGCGUCAUGAACGAUCAACCCAGUGCAGUCAUUAAUGAAACGAUCAAUGCCUCUCAUGUCUCCGCUACACUUCACUAUGCAGGCGGCCAGAUGUACACAAAUCCAGAGCCUCAAAAUGACUUCAGCGCCAGCGCGGCUCUCAACAACCUCGGAGGAAUGAACCCUUCCUUCCCUGACUAUACGCCACUUUCCAGGGUCACCGGCCAAAACGUUUAUAACAUUGAAUCACAAAAUACAAACUAUGUGAACCUUGACCAGCCGACCCAGGGCGUAGAAAAUAGUAUCUCUUCGUUACCUGAGAGUAUCUCAAAUAUCAAUUUAUCAGACUACAUUCCAAAUCGAAUGACAGAUUCAACAAACAGUAUGAUGGAUAGUUUUAGUAAGUACCUGAAUUCUACAAUACAGGAACUUCCAGAUGUUGAUAAUAAUAACCAGGGCUAG
rnacentral:lncRNA from 1 species